rnacentral:lncRNA from 1 species
ACCAAAAGAUGAAUUGUCAGCCAGUGGAUUCCAAAGGUUAUGAUCUUUUGAAUUCUUAAUUAUUUUUUCCACUAACAACCUAUUGUUACUAACUAAACUACUUAACCAUCAAUCUAAUUUUCAAGGUUAUCAAUAACCAACUAAUAACUUACCACAAAAUUUAUUUACAUAUUCUAUAGUUACCCUUUCAGCAUCCUCUAAAGAAUACUCUUCUUUUAGCUGAAGAAUAAGAUCCUU